CCUUCCCCUGCUUCUGUCAGCCACCCCCUUGCUCAAAAUUCUGUGGCCUCCUGCCAUCCUUACAAUUAAGCCUGGGUGGCCUGCAGCCCUGCACAACUGUCCCAGGCUCUCCCUGCCUUUUGGACUUCUGUCUUCUGCCAUGUUCCCUCUUCUCUCCCACCAGGUCUCUACAGGGCAGUGGCCUCUGCUGGCCUUACUGUUGUCCCUCAUCGCCCUUCAGUCCCAAGCUCCAGUUACUUCUUCAAGGACGUCUUCCCUGAGCCCCUCACUAGGAUCUGUGUUGGUCUCACUUUCUGCUGGAUCCCCAGAACUAACCAGUUCACGUGGCCAAGUGAAGGCUCCUCUCUACGUGAUUAAACCCCGCGGACACAGCGCCGGCGCCGUGCAAAGCAUUGUGGGAGGGGCGGAGGCCGCGGCAGUAGAGCCCAAGGUGCGACCCCAGCAAAGAACGUGCCCCGAAAUCCGGUGAAUUCAACUGCCAUGGAAGGAGUUCAAGGCCUUCACACCUCCUGUGUUCCCAUUUCUCUGGAAGGCAUACUCCAGGAUGGAAAGGCAAGUGAUUUGAGUUUCUGUUCAGAAAUGUGGGGCCCCUCGGAGCAGGUGUGGUGUCGGGUGCAGGUGUGGAGAGAAUGCGGUCGUCUGAGGACUGUUCUUUCUUGGAUUCUGGAGCCCUCCAAAUUACAGGGCAGUGUGGAGAGGAAGGCUCGAGCCUGACUGGAAUAGCUUUGCCUGCACAGGAAUAACUACUGAAGCUGAUUGUUUGCACUGCCUGCACUUCCCUUUAAUGAGACUGGAACUCCAAAGUUUGAGGGGAAAUGCUGGGAAGUGGCAGAAAGACUGUCAGUUCUGUAUUAGGAAGACAGGUAGCUGAGGCUCAUGUAUGCGGUUGUUAUCGGUUUGUCAUCUUGCCUCAAAAUCCAGGGACCUGGAGGCAGAAGGUAGCGGUAUCACGAUGGUCAGAGCCAAAGGCAAACUUUGGUCAGCUGUGUUGACUCAGAGGAUUGACAACUGGUGGUCUGGUCAGCUUUCUAACCACCCUUGCAAGGGCUGGCUAUCUUUUAUGUGCGUGUGUAUGACAUUAGAAAAUGGCUAAAGAAUGGCCUUCUCUUCUUUUUUUUCCACCCACCUCCUGGGUAGGUACAACAGAGCUUGCAAAAUGGCAGCUGUAGGAUGGCACGUGGCCCACAGACCUAUUUUAUUUAGUUUGCAGAGGAUUUAACAUUUUAGAAGGGACUAGUUCCUAGUUUAGUAAGUGGGAUAGUUCACAGAAAAAGGAUUUCCACCUACUCCUGAAAAGUCAGUGUUUGUUUGACUGCCUCUCAGCUGAGGCAUCUGCUCACCAGUUCACCAUGACCUGUGUUUGUCAGUUUUGUUCAUCAUCUGCUGGAUCCUGGAGGGCAUUUGUGUUUGAGAUCUUUGACCCAACCUUUCCCCCAGCUCCCACAUUGUUGGUGUCCCUUUUGCUACCCCUGCUGUCUCAGAAGGUCCCUCAAUGAGCCUGUCCUACCCGUCCCUCCUGUAUAGCAGCACUCUUUUCCUUAGGAAGAGCUCUGGCCUUUAUUGUCCUGCAGACGUCAUCACAGAUGAAGGGGCUGGGAAGUCUAGUGCUGACCCCACGUAACUAUUGGGGAUCUGUUGGCAGAUCCCAGCCUGCUGGGUGCAGGUGCUUGUUGUGAGUGCUGAGAGACACAGGUCUGGCCCUGUAGUCCUUCACUCUGUAACUAAAAUCCCUGGAGGUGAGUGUCACUGCAGCCUAAAAUCAGGGACAGAGGUUUUAUUUUUUUUAAUUCUUUUGAAGAACUGUGGGGCUUCCUCAUAAUAAAAA
rnacentral:lncRNA from 9 species